CCUACGGGUGGCAGCAGUGGGGAAUAUUGCGCAAUGGGCGAAAGCCUGACCCAGCAACGCCGCGUGAAGGAAGAAGGCUUUCGGGUUGUAAACUUCUUUUGACAGGGAAGAGCAGAAGACGGUACCUGUCGAAUAAGCCACGGCUAACUACGUGCCAGAGGCCGCGGUAAUACGUAGGUGGCAAGCGUUGUACGGAGUUACUGGGGGUAAAGGGCGUGUAGUCGGGCUGAGAAGUCAGAUGUGAAAUCCGGGGGCUCAACCCCCGAACUGCAUUUGACACUGGUUGUCUUGAGUAUCGGAGAGGCAGGCGGAAGUCCUAGUGUAGCGGUGAAAUGCGUAGAUAUUAGGAGGAACACCAGUGGCGAAGGCGGCCUGCUGGACGAAAACUGACGGUGAGGCGCGAAAGCGUGGGGAGCAAACAGGAUUAGAUACCCUUGUAGUC
rnacentral:rRNA from 1 species